rnacentral:rRNA from 1 species
AACGAACGCUGGCGGCAGGCUUAACACAUGCAAGUCGAACGCCCCGCAAGGGGCGUGGCAGACGGGUGAGUACCGCGUGGGAACAUACCCUUUUCUACGGAAUAGCUCUGGGAAACUGGAAUUAAUACCGUAUACGCCCUACGGGGGAAAGAUUUAUCGGGGAAGGAUUGGCCCGCGUUGGAUUAGCUAGUUGGUGGGGUAAAGGCCUACCAAGGCGACGAUCCAUAGCUGGUCUGAGAGGAUGAUCAGCCACAUUGGGACUGAGACACGGCCCAAACUCCUACGGGAGGCAGCAGUGGGGAAUAUUGGACAAUGGGCGCAAGCCUGAUCCAGCCAUGCCGCGUGAGUGAUGAAGGCCUUAGGGUUGUAAAGCUCUUUCACCGAUGAAGAUAAUGACGGUAGUCGGAGAAGAAGCCCCGGCUAACUUCGUG